UUUUUUUCAAUUUCAUUUUCGUUUUAUUUCAUACCUCGAGCUGUCGAGCGUGGAGCUCCGUGGACAUCACACGCUGUUUAUUUUAUCUUAAAUAAGAUGGAUGCAUGCAUCGAUUGAUGCAGAGGCCGGGGGCUCGUUUCCUCCUUAUAAAAAAACGUGCUCACACGCAAGAAACAUCACACUUCUCAUAUGUGGCUCAUACAUAUUGUGGUGUAUAUCUCUUUGCUUGUUCGUAGGUUUAGGCUUGUAAGGCAUUGGGAAUUAACGGUGUACAUA
rnacentral:lncRNA from 1 species